GGUGGCGAAAAAGCUACGAAGGUCGAUCGGGUGACGUCUAAACGACGAUUGCCAUCCAUAGCUGGUGGCCGUCGAUGGUAAUCGUCGUUUAGACGUCAUUUGAUCAACCUUCGUAGCCAUUUCGCCAC
rnacentral:pre_miRNA from 1 species